AGGUGACAGCAAGGUCACAAUGGAAGGGGCAGUCAAAUCCACCUAGGGAUGUGAAAGAAGAUAAGCCCUAAAUGAAGAACUGAAACAUUAUUAGGAUUUUUAUCAAGCACAACGUGGGAAUGAAUAUUCUAAGAAGCACGGAUAGAUGUAGCUCUGAGGCCUCUGUCAGUGUCAUAGGUGGAUGAAGCAAAAGCAAAGGAAAGGAAAGCCAAUACGGGAAAGAAAACGGUUCCGAAGACAUACUUUAUGCUCUAAACGGAAAUUUGAUUACAGCCUCAUGGAACAGUUCUGAAACAAAAAACUAUGGGUCUAGAAUGGUGCUUUAUUAGCCAAAGAGUGCCUGAGAAUCGCUUCAGAAGCUUUCUGCAGAUGUCCUGAGUUCCUGCCCAGAGAGUCUGACCUAACAGACGGAAGAAGGUCCCAGCAACCGUGCUCUGAAAGGGCUCUGCAUUCAAAGCAUGAAUGAGAAGUGGACUGGGUCCUAGACUGAGAGCUAACUGUCUAGCAUACAAGUCUCUGAUGACUGCUACCUUUCUUUUUUUCUCAACUAU